CCCGUGAGAGAGAAGCGCGAACAAGUUGAGGAGGGGCCUGUCCUCUGCAGCCAGGGAAGGGCCGCACUACCAGCUCCCGCCGCUCUUCCACGCACUUUGCAAUAUCUCUGUAGGAUGAAGGUAAAUCCAAUGGCUUAGGUCUCUGUAUCCUCAGUGGACUGAAGAAAUGAGAUAAGAUCAUAAACCACACAGAAAAUCCUGAAGGUACUGGAGCAGAGUGGGAUAGAAUAGAACAAGAUCUUCCAGACCCCAGAAGAAAUCUCUAGUAAUUAAAAUACUUUAUGAAGUACAGAAAAUAGGGCAGGACUUCUCUUGAAAAGGCCAGCUAGUCCCAGAGGGAAAAUACAAAGUCCAUGAGAUGCUUUGUGUGAAGUCUGAUAGAAGUUUCCAGAAUCAGCAUGUUUACACUACAGUAGUUCCUGGGAUGUAAAUCAAGAUAGAGGCCCCAUUGUGGUAGAUACUCCACAGACUCAUAUCAUCUGAACACAUGGACUCUGCUCCAAAUAG